rnacentral:lncRNA from 1 species
CCGUGGUAUGGAACCAGCUUCUGUUGAGUGACACUGGGCUCUGUGUGACAUCACAAUUCUAAAGUCACAUGAGGCGUUGCAGCCCAAAACGUCCCAGCAUGCUCUGCUGGCAAGUAGGUUGGAAAGUGCUGAGUGCAGAAGGAAAUCUGGGAAGGUCAGGGCGUUUCCCCUUGUGGCUGCAGACUGCUUAGCAAGGCCAGUUGUUUGCCUGUGCCUCCUGCACCCUACUUCAUUUGUACUAGGGGGAUUUGAGUCUGGAGGUGGAUAGACCUAGAACUAGGCAGAACCCAAACUUUUUGAUUCUCUCACAGGGAAGUGGCUCAUGACAAGCUUGGAUCUUUUGGAUCUCAAGAGUCCCUCAAAAGCAGGCAGGCAGGCAGGCAAACCUGCAAAAGGCCAAAUCCUGUAGGACUGAGCUCACAGGGCGGGUAGAGCUCUGCCAUAGAUUCAGCCAGUCGUCUCUGUCUUGGUACUUUGCUCCAAUGUUAAGUGAAAUGAGACACACAAGCUUAAAUAUCACAAGGUUUUCCUCUAUGAGAAACCCAGAGCAGAUAAAGAGAUUUGUGUGUGUGUGUGAU